rnacentral:rRNA from 1 species
AUCUAAGUACCCCGAGGAAAAGAAAUCAACCGAGAUUCCCCCAGUAGCGGCGAGCGAACGGGGAGGAGCCCAGAGCCUGAAUCAGCAUGUGUGUUAGUGGAAGCGUCUGGAAAGGCGCGCGAUACAGGGUGACAGCCCCGUACACAAAAGCGCAUGUGCUGUGAGCUCGAUGAGUAGGGCGGGACACGUGGUAUCCUGUCUGAAUAUGGGGGGACCAUCCUCCAAGGCUAAAUACUCCUGACUGACCGAUAGUGAACCAGUACCGUGAGGGAAAGGCGAAAAGAACCCCGGCGAGGGGAGUGAAAAAGAACCUGAAACCGUGUACGUACAAGCAGUGGGAGCACCCUUUUGGGUGUGACUGCGUACCUUUUGUAUAAUGGGUCAGCGACUUAUAUUCUGUAGCAAGGUUAACCGAAUAGGGGAGCCGGAGGGAAACCGAGUCUUAAUUGGGCGUUAAGUUGCAGGGUAUAGACCCGAAACCCGGUGAUCUAGCCAUGGGCAGGUUGAAGGUUGGGUAACACUAACUGGAGGACCGAACCGACUAAUGUUGAAAAAUUAGCGGAUGACCUGUGGCUGGGGGUGAAAGGCCAAUCAAACCGGGAGAUAGCUGGUUCUCCCCGAAAGCU